GGGGAUAUUGGUAACUCAGUUGGUAGAGUGCUUGCCUCAGAUGUACAAGGCCCUGGGUUUAAUCCCCAGCACCCCCU
rnacentral:tRNA from 1 species